rnacentral:rRNA from 1 species
AAGAAUUUAAAGGUCGAACAGACCUAUAAUCUAAUUUUCUUCUAUUAGAUGUUUUCUUAAUUCAACAUCGAGGUAGCAUUUAAUCUUCUUGAUUUGAUCUCUAAAAAAUUUUUGCU